GUCUCAUCCAGAGCACUUUAAAGAAACUGAUAAGCUCUAUCUCGUUUAACUUGGCCUUUGGAAGACACUUGUGGAAAUUUCUGCAAAGGAGGUGACAUCAGUUGUUGUCACAGCUGCUGUCAGUCCUUUGCCACCUACGACCUGGGGAAGACACGAUGGUAGAUACGAUGGCAGACACUGCAGAAAGGUCCUGUGGUGAAGAUGGGUGAGAGGCCUGGCUGAGCAGAGAGAGUUGGGCAGGCUGCAAACAACCUCACCAAACCGACGUGUCCAUCUCCAUCGUGCCCUGCAGCACCACUGCUUCUGGUGCCCAGCUGCACUCCAAUGGGCUUCUGGAUGCUCAGAAACACGAACUAGAGUAAUUUGCCCUAAUAAUUUUCAACUGUGAGUUCCCACAGCAUCUGAAGUUAUGUUUACAAAAAUGUGUACAUAAAGCUACCAGUCUUCAACUGUCCCAGAAGAAAAGUCAUGUGUUGAUGUAGGAGUGACUACUGAUGAAGAAUGCUUCAAUUUAUUGGAAACUGGAUGUAAAACAUCUUCAGAAAGGUGUUUUUUCUGCACGCUUAGAACCAGGCCCAAUGCACCUUUAAUUUAAGGAGUUCUCAUGAAUUUUCAGCAAUGAGUCCAUAUGGGAAUAAUUUCAUUGUGAGAAGAAGGCUUCCAUUCUAUCAGGAAAAAAGGCUGCAUGGAAAUCACAGAAAGCUACAGAAGAAAGUAUCAGUCAUUGUUUGAAAGCAUUGUGGCCUAUGGAGAUGGAAACCAGAACGUGGAUUUUCCUCCAAAUUUUAUAAGCUUCUAGAAACCCCAAUGAUGAGAAACAAAUGCGAAAAGUUCACAAAAGCAGUGGUUGCUUAAGAGAAAAAAUUCUUAAAGCCCUAUUGCUUUUAUGAUGAACAGACCUGGCGUGAAGGAUAUUAAUUAUCUUGUAUACCAUUCUUUAAACAGGAAGCUCUUCUGGGAAUAAUCUCAGAUUUGAUGAAUUGUCAGUUGUGACCAUCUCUCUUCUUCUCUAUGAAAGCCCUGUUCUCACUCUCAACUCUAAACGACAGCUUCCAAUACUUUCCAGAAGUCUACGGAGGAAAUUAAGGCACAAAUUUCCCUGUAGCCAGAGGACCCACCCACUGUGCCGGCUGGAGAUGGAGGAAAGGUGGAAUGGAAGCACCAAGGGCUAGGUACACUGUUUCUCAGAAAUACGAGAAGACACCAGGCUCAGUUGCAGUCCUAAACACACUUUUGCACCGAUUUCCCCAGUUUCUUGGCUGCGUAUUUAAGUACUAAACCAAACCAAAACCCUACAAAUAGGAAGAACAAAAAAUUGGAUGUAUGCAAGAGACUCCUAUUCAAACCAGUGGCAUCUGAGGACAGGAAUUAUCUCCUAGAUGGAACAAAUAAGCAAGAUCCUGAUACAUAAUGAUUACUAAUUAAUAAAAACAAUAUCAAGACCCAUAGUGAUGAGACUCAGAAAAAUGACUUCUGCAAACAAUACCAGCAUUCUUGCUAGGAGAAUACGGAUGAAUAAUAAGAAAUAUAAAGAGAAAAACCUCUGACACUAAAUCCUGGAGUAAAAUUUCAAUUUACAGUUCACUUCAAUAACAGUUUCUCCAGAAUCACAGAAACAUGGAAUAGUAUUAAAUAACUGAAAAGUAAAUAUUGUAGUAUUUACCCAGCUUUUAAUACUGACUACGGGAUUGUAGUGCUGUUCUAUUUUUCCUUUCCUGGUAAGUUGUGAGAGCAAAAAGAAUACAUUGCUUUUUGUUGUGCAGUUUGUACAUCAGAAUUGGGAUGUGUGGAAUUUUACAGGCUAAACAAACAAUAUCCGGAGGCAAGCUGAAGUAUAAGUCAGGAACGUAAGUUUCUCUCAGCUUCUGUGCACUUUCCAGAAAAAAAAGACCAGUUUUUAAAGAGUCAGCCAUGGUAUUUCGAGUCUGGGAGGAGACUGAAUGAAGAUAUGAAGACUUCAAAAGAAAGGCCAGAAAAGACCUGAGAGAAGCAAAUAAAGAGCCUGAUAUAGCCAGUGGUCAUGUAUCUCCAGAAAAGAUUGAUCUGAUCAUUUAACAUCAAUUUGAAGAAAGCAUGGCUGGCUUUCUUUGGCUUUCUUUUACUUUUAUCUGAAAAGCUCUCAACCAUCAUUUCCUAAAACAGGGUUUUUGGGUUUUGCAGGAGACAAAAUCUAUAUAAAGCUUGUUAUAAAAGAGUCAGUGGGGAAGUUGAUUUGAUUUUUGUUGCUAAACAAUCCAAGGUUAGAGGCGUUUUAACUCAGUUACUGUUCUGCCAAUUAAAGUCACCAGGAUAAAUAAGAAUAUGCUGAGCUAUGUGAAGAAACCAUUUUCAAAAUUGGCUGUUUCCAAUGACUUUGUCUCUCACGUGUGGAUAGUGCCUGUCCUGUGCCAGAAAUAAUUGCUAGUUUAAGGUCAAUGCAAAGGUUUCAGAAAAUCCAGAGGAGAAAGUAGUGUGCUAUUGUAAAGCCUAAUGGAUCCAAAACAAGGAGCUCCUGGCAAAGUUUUACCCCAUUUCUGCUCUUCAGGAGGUCUUGGCCCUUAAACAAAAUUAAAACUCUGUUUAACAAAACUGUCACAUAUCCAUUAAGUUCAAAAAUUUGUUGACCUGAACCAUUUUAUACACUUUGGUCUCAUUCUUCUUUCCAUCCUUGUAAGAUGCUGAUGUUUUUAAUGACUGCAUCUGGUCUCACUAAGGGUUAUGUAGUAGCUCUGAAAAAUUGAGUACCUAAUUACUUUAUGCUUCCAGGAACAUGAAGGGGAAGAUGAGAUGUUUUUCUCCUCUUUUUGUUUUUUCUUGACAUUUACUUAGUUGCAUACUUAUUACUUGCAAAUCCUAUUUCUCAUGCAUUUGAAAUAAAAGACAGUAUAAUCUCAUGAUAGGGGGAACCAUACAGUUUGCUGCAUACCUACAGACCUGUUCACAAGUUAUCAAAUGUUUUAAUAAGAGUGCCUUGCUUUGUCAUAAUUCUGAGUAGAAGACUGUAGAUUCCAAAUAACUUAAUCUUUUGGGAGUUUUAUUGUAUAAUUCACGUCUUUUACUAGAAUAUUUUCUUUGUAAAACA